GCUUAUGUUAUUUUAUUCAUAUGGACAAAAACUUAACAUUGAUCAGGUAUACAAAAACAGACAAAUUUUGUGCAAUAUCUAGGUAUGAAAUUAACAAGUUUUAUAACAAUCAAUACUUAUGGAUAACAGCGUUUAUCAAUAAAGCUUAAUCCACAAAGCAGUUUCUUGGAAUAUAACUGUAAUAAUACACAUAUACAUGUAUAUA
rnacentral:lncRNA from 1 species